rnacentral:rRNA from 1 species
UACGUAGGUGGCAAGCGUUACUCGGAAUCACUAGGCGGUAAAGCGCGGGUAGGCGGUUGGGUAAGUCUCUUGUGAAAGCGUCCCGGCUUAACUGGGAGAGGUCAAGGGAAACUACCUGGCUAGAGUGCGGUAGAGGAAGCUGGAAUUCCUGGUGUAGCGGUGGAAAUGACGUAGAUAUCAGGAGGAACACCUAUGGCGAAAGCAGGCUUCUGGACCGUCACUGACGCUGGAUCCGACGAAAGCUAGGGGAGCAAACAGG